UGAGAGGGUGCUUGCACCCCGCUGACGAGCGGCGGACGGGUGAGUAAUGCAUAGGAAACUGCCCAGUAGUGGGGGAUAGCCCGGGGAAACCCGGAUUAAUACCGCGUACGCCCUUCGGGGGAAAGCAGGGGAUCUUCGGACCUUGCGCUAUUGGAUGUGCCUAUGUCGGAUUAGCUAGUUGGUGGGGUAAAGGCCUACCAAGGCGACGAUCCGUAGCUGGUCUGAGAGGAUGAUCAGCCACAUCGGGACUGAGACACGGCCCGAACUCCUACGGGAGGCAGCAGUGGGGAAUAUUGGACAAUGGGGGCAACCCUGAUCCAGCCAUGCCGCGUGUGUGAAGAAGGCUUUCGGGUUGUAAAGCACUUUCAGUGAGGAGGAAAAGUUGGUCGUUAAUACCGGCCAGCCUUGACGUUACUCACAGAAGAAGCACCGGCUAACUCCGUGCCAGCAGCCGGCGGUAAUUA
rnacentral:rRNA from 1 species